ACAAUACCUUGGUGAUGGCGUGAU
rnacentral:siRNA from 1 species